AACCAUUAUUCAUUCAGCCUUUCAGCCCUCCGCUGAGGGGUUGCCUUGUUUCCCAACGCUUCGCAUUGGGCUGAAUUAACACGCCCUUUCAGGGCUGUUUUCCAAUUGUUAGUUGUUAAUGGUUAUUUGCCGGUUAUAUGAUUCGACGUGUACCACGCAUAACAAUUGACCAUUAACCAUUAUCACCGCUCGCACGGGGCACAAGGGCUGCAAGCCCGAUAUAUUUCAGCCCCAUCCCGCAAGGGUGGGGUAUCGAUUCCCAUACCCCAUUGAGAGGGCUGUAAGCCUGACAUAAUCGUUAGCAGUCAGCAGUUAGCCCGUUAUCACACACCGCCUAGGGGGAUGUCUGUCCGAGAAAUGUGCUUUCCGGCCGCCGCUGCGGCUUCGGAGUGCAAGGUAGAGACGCCCUUUGGCCGGGCGUCUCUACACCUCAUGCUGUUUUCAAUCGCACGGUGAACCGAUCUCUUUUUUCACGACCGGGCAGUUGGCCUUCGAACUUCCACCGCAUUUUCCCCAACCAAAACUAGGAUUAAAGCUGGGGCUGGUCGGUUUCUUUAAAUCAAGCGACGCCUCGAUACCGACAUGAGCGGAUCUGCUCACAGAUAUUUCUCCGCUUGCAAAAGCACAACCCACUUUCAAACAUCCUUUGGCUGUUAUAUCGCCGCACACUCCCAAUGUUGCUGUGUAAGGACUGUAGAAGUCAAUCAUUGCAUAUCCUUUAACGGAGGCUUCAGCGCCCGCUCCAAGCGUAACGCACGGAGCCGAAACAGACGCUUCGAUAUUGGCAAACAGCAUAGCCGAGACACCUAUUUGCGGUUUGUUUCCGAAGCUGCCCCAAAAUGCCGCUUCAGCUUCUACUUUGAACAGGAACUUAUAUCCGAAGCCAAGAUAACUUCUUCCUUCCUCUAUGGGUGA
rnacentral:sRNA from 1 species